rnacentral:tRNA from 2 species
GCAGCCAUGGCCGAGUGGUUAAGGCGAUGAACUAGAAAUCCAUUGGGGUCUCCCCCCACAAGUUCAAAUCCUGUCGACUGCG